rnacentral:lncRNA from 1 species
AAAAAAAAACAUUGUGCCUUAGUCCCAUAUGAUAUAACUCUAAAAUAAAUCACAAAAAAAUCAUGCAUCAAGUGUAAACUAUAGCUAUCAACACAGGUUAUAUCCAACUGCUCACUAAAAGCUUAUAUUAAUUAAAAAUAAAGAAACCCAUCAACUAAACACUAACCAGAGCUUAAUAUUAUACAUGAAAAAAAGGAUUGAAUUAACAGUGGAGUACCUAAUACUAAAUUUUCAGGAAAAAUCAAAACUGACUAAUGAACAAUGAAGGUGUUAGAGACUGCAAUUAAGGGAACCCAUAUUCCGCAAUUAGACGGCUAGAAGCAGACCGCGAUGAAGGCGAAAUUUACAACAAUAGCAUUAUUUUUAACAACAACAAAAUGCAGAAAUUGUUACCUCGAUGCUAUGUUUACAAUUACUUAGCUCUAGGAUUAAUCCUCAUUAACAUAAUUUCUCUCACUAGACUCCUAUAAACUACUAGUCAGAUAAUACAACAUUAUCAUCACUUAUUGUACUUACAUCAC